rnacentral:rRNA from 1 species
AGUGAACGCUGGCGGUAGGCCUAACACAUGCAAGUCGAACGGCAGCACAGUAAGAGCUUGCUCUUACGGGUGGCGAGUGGCGGACGGGUGAGGAAUACAUCGGAAUCUACUUUUUCGUGGGGGAUAACGUAGGGAAACUUACGCUAAUACCGCAUACGACCUACGGGUGAAAGCAGGGGAUCUUCGGACCUUGCGCGAUUGAAUGAGCCGAUGUCGGAUUAGCUAGUUGGCGGGGUAAAGGCCCACCAAGGCGACGAUCCGUAGCUGGUCUGAGAGGAUGAUCAGCGACACUGGAACUGAGACACGGUCCAGACUCCUACGGGAGGCAGCAGUGGGGAAUAUUGGACAAUGGGCGCAGGCCUGAUCCAGCCAUACCGCGUGGGUGAAGAAGGCCUUCGGGUUGUAAAGCCCUUUUGUUGGGAAAGAAAAGCAGCAGGUUAAUACCCCGCUGUUCUGACGGUACCCAAAGAAUAAGCACCGGCUAACUUCGUG